rnacentral:misc_RNA from 1 species
GCCGACUACCGGCGCCGUGUCCCGUCAUUUGUGUGGCUGAUGUUACUGUUGCCUUUAAGUGCUUGCGUGCUGGUACCCGACCUACGGGAAUUGGUCCAUCAUACACGGUUGCCUCGCGGUGGACGCCUUCGGGUGUGCUGCUGCGGCCAAAUGGCGCUUGCGGCGUUGCCUCGUGGUGCUGGCACGUUUUCGUGCCCGGUGCUAUCAAGGCAGCCUCGCUCCCGCUGUUGGUUUCGGAUGUCGCUCACGAUAAAAGAUCAUGGCCCUUUUGGUUGCCUUGACCUGACCCUAAAUAUGCCUUCCUCGUUGAGAACAACCGUUAGCUGUUGCCUCAACUCGUAGGUGGAUAUUGGCCCGCUCAAUUGCGACAACCGGCCCGGCGGUUGCCUCUGCCUUUCCACGCAAGUGGACGGGCGAAUGACUGCCGGCGCUGGAGUCAAAGAGG